GCUGGCUCAGCCCACGCGGGGCGUUCUCUUCCGCACGGAGAGGAAUGGUCUGUGGUGGAUCAUGGCUCCCGCCGCUGUCGCGCCCGCCCUGCAGACCCCCGAGAUUCAGUUCGCUCAGAGGCUGGCUGCGAACGAGAAACGGAUUCGAGAUCGAGCGCUGAAGAAGCUACGUGGCUAUAUCACUCUCAGGACCCAGAGUCCAGCGGGUAGUUUUACUCGAGAAGAGUUGCUAAAAAUAUGGAAAGGACUCUUUUACUGCAUGUGGAUGCAGGAUAAACCCCUGCUGCAGGAGGAGCUCUCAAACAAUAUAUCACAACUCGUUCAUGUAAUUGAGAACAUGGCUGCUCGGCAUUUGUUUAUUCAGACUUUUUGGCAAACCAUGAACCGGGAAUGGAAUGGAAUAGACAGACUACGCCUAGAUAAAUUUUACAUGCUGAUCCGCAUGAUGCUGAGGCAGUCCUUUGAAGUACUGAAAAGAAAUGGAUGGAAUGAAAGUCUUACUGAGACAUUUCUGAACAUGCUAAUGAAGGAGGUGCUUAACCCAGACACCAGUGCUGCCAUUGGGGUCAAAUUACAUUUCAUCGACAUCUAUCUGGAAGAGCUGGCUAAAGUUGGGGCUAAAGAGCUCACAGCAGACCAGAAUCUCAAGUUUAUUGAACCAUUCUGCAAAAUUGUUGCCAAGACCAAGGAUCAUCUCGUACUGCAAGCUGUUGUCCACGGGAUCUUUGAGGCCAUUGUGGAUCAGUCACCAUUUGCCAUAGAAGAUUUAAUGAAAGAACUGACUGCUGCUGGUGAUGAGGAGGUAUCAGAAGAUGAUGAAUGGAGUGAUGAUGAGGACAAGCUGAUGGCCAAAGGCAGGGGCUUGUCAAACAAAUCCCUGCUAGGCUCUGAGACUGAAGAUAACCUUUUUGAAGAUGCAGAAGAUAAUAUUGGGCCUGUUCUCCAGUUCGAUUAUAAAAUGGUUGCAGACACACUAUUUGAAUUGGCCAGCAGAAAAAAUACACCUACUUUUAACAGAAAGCGCCUCUACAAAGUGAUUAAAAAAUUUCAAGACCUUGCAGAAGGGGCUUUUCCACAAGAUGAUUUUCCUGAAGAUGUUUCGACAGAUGAAGAUGAUGAUACUUUCAGCAGGAGAAAGUGCAAAUGGAAAUCUGGCAAACCUUUAGAUCAGUCUAAGCUGGAGAAAGCCGAGAACACUAGCAACAGAAAAGACUGUACUGAGGAAGAAGAGAACAAUACAGGAACACAGAAGAAAAGGAAGAAACGAAAAAGGAAGGCUAGUCAGAUAGAUGACACUUGCACAGCUACUGGAAGUUAUGAGAAAGCACCAGUCAAUGUAGGCAAAUCCAAAGAGCCAAGCCAAGAUACUGAAUUAUCAACUAGUAAGAAAAGGCAAAAAAAAUCUUUAAGUAUGAAUGUCAAUGAAGCUGGCUCCUUAGCAACUCCCAUUGGAGGGCUCAGUGAUAAUUCGACAUUGAAAUCACUGCCAUGUUUGGUAAACAGUAUAAAGAAACAGCCAAAGAAGAAAAAUGGCAGCCCCCAGAAAGUUCCUGUCAAAAUUGCCCAUCAAAAUGGAGGCGCUAAUGUUAUUACUGCAGAGGAUCUUGGUCACUGUGCUACAGUAGGUCAUGACUGUGAAGUGCCGAAGAAGAAAUGGAAACCAGAGCUUGGGAUGAUCACUGGGAACAGUUUUCCUGACGAGGCGGUUCAGCAGUCAGAGUUGAAACCCUUUGUGGAGUCAGAAUCCACAACGCUUCAUAAAGUGAAGUUGAAAAAAAACCAAACAUUGGGGAAGUUGGUCAAGAUUAGAUGUUCCAAACAGAAAAUAAUUGGCUUAAGAAAGCAAAGGAAAAUAAAGGAAGUCCAGAAUUCCAUAGAUGAAAAUGAACUUCAAGUUGCAAACAAGAAAAACAGAAGUGAUGAAACUGGUGUUGCUGCCUUUCUGCUGAAGAAGAAGGAUAAGGAAGGGAAUGCCUUUGUGAAAUUUGAAAAGACAGCAUUACCAAAGCCAACGUUUUUUAGAAAAGCCAAAGGGAGCAUUACCUCUAUGCAGCUAAGCAAGCUACAAUCUUCCAUCUCCAAAAAGGUCACCUUUGGACUGAAUAAGAACAUGACUGCAGAAUUUAAGAAGACAGAUGAAAGUAUCUUAGUCAGCCCAGAGGGAGCCUCCCGGGUAGCUUUCAAUCCUGAGCAAAAACCACCUCAUGGAGUGUUGAAGUCCCCUUCUGGCUCUUCUGCAGGAACACCUCAAAUAAAGAAACCAUUUUUAAUGUCUCAUAAGAAGAGACCAACUGCUGUGGACUUCUUCUAAGCCAAUAAGGAGAAGAGUAAUUUUUGUACAGAAUAUUUCAGUAACCAAUUAUUUCUGGAGGGGUACCACAUCAUUACUCUGGGUAUUAGAAUCUCAACCCUUCAUAAAUGCAGAAUAGCAUAGUUCAGGGAACCUCGCAUACACAGAAGGUCAAAGGACAAAUAGUUCCCCUGCAUCAAGGGUAUGAAAAAUGUAGCUCUCCAGAUAUUUUGGACUUUAUCUCCUAGUAUUCCUGACCAUUCGUCAUGGUGGCUGGGCCUCUUGGGAGUUCGAAGUCCAAAGUAUGUGGUAAAAAACUUUUUGCAGACUCCUGCCCUUGGCAUUAAGUAUUUCUCCUGAGUUUUCAUCAAGUUCAAAGUAGUGAUAUUAUAAUUGUUUUGUUUUCAAAUGUCUUCUGGUAUUUUCCUUGUUAAGCGCUGUCCAUUGGUUUGAGAGUGCUCACUUCCUCCUCACCCCUUGGAGCUGAAAGAGGGUGAAUUGAAUGAGAAUGGAAUAUUUGCAUUUUGGGGACUUGCAUCAGAUAGUGUACAUUUGUUAACUCUUUAUAUUAGUAAACCUUAAUGGAAGGAAAUAUCACAAUAUAAAUGUUAGUAUUGGCUCUUUAAACUGACUGCUUUACUUGCUUGGAGAAAGGCAGUGAGGAUUUAGAACCAGUAUAAGUCAACAAUUUACUUUUGUUGAAGUAGAAGCACCUAAGAAUAUUGAGGACAAGAGUUGCUUUUAACCUUUGACCAACCUAAACCUCAGAGUAUUAUACUUCCCAUGAAAAUAAUCCAUAUUAUCAAGUGUGUUGCAGAAUAGAUGUUGAAAGCAAGAUCAGCACCUGGCAUCCAUGGGCAGCUGCUUGGGCCAUCCAUUACAUUUUCAUCCCAGUCUAGUCCUCCAGACACCUAACAAGUGUCUCUAGCUAUUUCCAUCUCCAACAAUGGACAGUACCCUGUGCUGCCUCUGUGUUGGCAGGAGAAGCUUACAGUUCCUAAAACGAGGCAGAAACAAGCAUUUCCAUCCAUUCUUUGCGGCUUUAGGAGGUACUGGUUCCUGUUGUGCUAACAGUGGGUCCUGCUGGUACAAUAGAACUAGAGGGAGCUCAACAGAAGUUUAGGAUACUGCCCGAUCCAAGGCAUUGUGGGAAAUUAAAAUAGCAGUUUCUAUUAGCCAGUAUGCCCAGCAGAAACCACCAGUAGAGAUGGGGAGAAGUUUCACACUCUAUGUUCUAGCUGUUAAAGUCAUUGACCAGCUUUUCAGAAUUCACACACACAUCAGGCUUCUCUUAAGAGAUGCCCCCCAUUGUUUGGAACUGCAACUCACAUUAGCCCCAGCUAGCUUGGUCAAUGGUCAAGGAUGAUGUGAGUUUUACUUUGAAACAUGUAGGGGGAAAAACCUGGGGUGUGCAAACUGAAAUGUAGCUCUUAGGAUGUUUUGUACUUCAGUUGUCAGAAGUCUGUCAGCAUGGCAGCAACAUUUGUUUCUGCAUUGCAGCCUUGCCUGAUGCUGCCCUCUAAUGUUUUGGACUACAACUCCCAGCACGUCUACCUUUGUCUAUGCUGUCUACAGCUGACUGGAGUUGACAUCAAAACACCUGGAGGCCACCAGGUUGGGGAAGGCUGCUUUUAUGGUAAUAAACUUCUUCCCACAAAUAGUGUAAAAUAAGAAUGGGAUAAGGAAGGUAAAUUUUUGCCCUGGAAUAGCCCAUAGUUGCUUAAAGCUCUUGCUGUUCUCACUGGGAAUGGAUUAAGUCAAAUGAAAAGACCCCUUGAAAAUUGCAACUGAAUUCAUAACUUGGUUUUACUUUGCAACUGAAUUUAUAAUUCCAUUAGCAGUGUUCUCCUCCCAUGACAUUAGAGCUCUUCACCUAUCAGUAAUAUUAAUGAUCUUGACUUGUACUUAGCUGUUAUAAUAGAGAAUGUCUAGAACUGUCCCAGCUUGGUAUUCUUUUGUAAAGUGGUUCCUUAAAAAUAUUCACUUAUGUAAUACAAUCACCGAUUAUCUCAUAUACAUCUUAGAACCAUAUCACAUUUCAAAAAUCAGGAACAUUGACAACAAAUGGACAAAAAGAUUUAAAAAAAGGAUCAAAGAAAAAUGCCAAGGAAAAUGCUAAUUUUCCAUUUAUAUUUAACAAAACUGAGUAUAGAAAAUAACAUUUUUCAUAUUCUGAAACGUUUGUUUUGCAUCGAGGGUAAUAAUUUGUUAGUAAAAUACAAUUGGUAAGUUCAACAAAUUUACCCUGAUUUCAAAAUUCCAAUGGAACUAGUCCACAGUAUGAGCUGCAUUUAAAAAAAAAAUCCAUUAGCAGUGACGUGUUUUAUCUGCUUCCAUGUCUGCUGAUUCUGAAAUCAAAACUGGAUUGUUUCCAAAUGAAUCCAAUUCAAACAUAUGAAAAGGUGGGCUAAAAAGAUAAGUAUAUCUCUUGUCUUUAACAACAGGUUAAACAAGGAGUGAUCUGCUCAUGUAUACACAUUAUGUAGUGCAGGUUUCAAAACGGAAUUGUCCUAGACUCAAAGAGGCAUGUUGUAGAUAGUCCUGAUUUCAGAAUGCUGCAUGUGUAUAUACUAUUACAGAAAUGCCAUUGCACCAUAGUACUGUUCUUUAUUUUUUGUAUUGUGUUCUCUGUUCACAUUCUUCCAUGUACUGAAACAGAACCAUAUUGACCAAUUAUAUGAAAUUGUAUAUAAGCUAUUAUAUUACUGUUGUC